CCUCGCCAGGGCUUUCUCCACAGAGGCGGCCAUAGCCGCAUUAAUCAAUGCCUGCAAGUUUUGCUCCUGCACAGCGGCUUCCAUGAUGCCUGAGAUACGGUACGUGAUACCUAAGGAGACAGAGAACAGGUAUCAGUAGCAGGCAGUAGGGGCAGCACCCCUAGUAUGGCAGAGGCAAGUAUCAACGCAUGCGAGCUCAACAAAUCUUGUUCCAGGGUAAGGAGCCGUCAGG